rnacentral:rRNA from 1 species
CCAUCGGGGUGGAUUAGUGGCGAACGGGUGAGUAACACGUGGGCAAUCUGCCCUUCACUCUGGGACAAGCCCUGGAAACGGGGUCUAAUACCGGAUAAUACUCCUGCCUGCAUGGGCGGGGGUUAAAAGCUCCGGCGGUGAAGGAUGAGCCCGCGGCCUAUCAGCUUGUUGGUGGGGUAAUGGCCCACCAAGGCGACGACGGGUAGCCGGCCUGAGAGGGCGACCGGCCACACUGGGACUGAGACACGGCCCAGACUCCUACGGGAGGCAGCAGUGGGGAAUAUUGCACAAUGGGCGAAAGCCUGAUGCAGCGACGCCGCGUGAGGGAUGACGGCCUUCGGGUUGUAAACCUCUUUCAGCAGGGAAGAAGCGAAAGUGACGGUACCUGCAGAAGAAGCGCCGGCUAACUACGUGCCAGCAGCCGCGGUAAUACGUAGGGCGCAAGCGUUGUCCGGAAUUAUUGGGCGUAAAGAGCUCGUAGGCGGCUUGUCACGUCGGAUGUGAAAGCCCGAGGCUUAACCUCGGGUCUGCAUUCGAUACGGGCUAGCUAGAGUGUGGUAGGGGAGAUCGGAAUUCCUGGUGUAGCGGUGAAAUGCGCAGAUAUCAGGAGGAACACCGGUGGCGAAGGCGGAUCUCUGGGCCAUUACUGACGCUGAGGAGCGAAAGCGUGGGGAGCGAACAGGAUUAGAUACCCUGGUAGUCCACGCCGUAAACGUUGGGAACUAGGUGUUGGCGACAUUCCACGUCGUCGGUGCCGCAGCUAACGCAUUAA